CUUUUUUUGAUAGGUUUCAGUGUCCUCCUGUCAAUGAUUGUUCAACAGCUAGUUGCAGUUUUGGUUCUCUUGCAGGAGGAGAUGAGCACAUGUCCUUUUACUCCACCAUCUUGAACCAGAAGUCUAGUUGCUUGAUAUUCAUAAUAAGGGGAUUGGAGCAAUGGCUGUACCAUCCAUUCAGCUGAACAAAUCAGAUUCCUAGAAUUGUCCUCGACAUGCCAUUGCCUCCAGGUAAUCAUGCACAGGAGACCACUUUGGGGGAAGUUAUCAGCCCUCCAGUGAAGGAAAUCAAACUGAUCAAGGGAAAUAUUUGACAGGUACUUAGGAAAAGAGGAAAUGGAAGAGGCCAAUCAUCAACACAAGUAAGCAUCUAAUAAAACAUGAUCCACAGAAAUGCA
rnacentral:lncRNA from 1 species